AUACGUAGGGGGCGAGCGUUGUCCGGAAUGAUUGGGCGUAAAGGGCGCGUAGGCGGCCCGGUAAGUCUGGAGUGAAAGUCCUGUUUUUAAGAUGGGAAUUGCUUUGGAUACUGUCGGGCUUGAGUGCAGGAGAGGUAAGUGGAAUUCCCAGUGUAGCGGUGAAAUGCGUAGAGAUUGGGAGGAACACCAGUGGCGAAGGCGACUUACUGGACUGUAACUGACGCUGAGGCGCGAAAGUGUGGGGAGCAAACAGGAUUAGAUACCCUGGUAGUCCACACUGUAAACGAUGAAUGCUAGGUGUAGGGGGUAUCGACCCCUUCUGUGCCGCAGUCAACACAAUAGGCAUUCCGCCUGGGGAGUACGGCCGCAAGGUUGAAACUCAAAUGAAUUGACGGGG
rnacentral:rRNA from 1 species